AUACUGACUUGUCAGGGGAGAUACUGUGAUCAAGAGAUUGGUUUUCCCAGGGCGAGGCUUAUCUAUUGUACUCCGGAUGUGCUGACCCCUGUGAUUGCCCCAAAUGUGGAAAACACAACUGCAGAAUUUGUUGUGGUAGUAGGGGACUAUGCUCGUACUCUCCCCUG
ensembl:snRNA U1 U1 spliceosomal RNA